CUCAGGAUUUUUAUUUUCAAUUUUAAAAGUAGUGUCUUAAUUAUCUAAGUUUAUUUUUGUAAUAAGCACAAAUCCAAACUAUUUCCCUAUACUUCUACUUUCUUUAAUGCAAUGAAAUUAUUUGACUCCUGGGCAAGACAAAAUAUUGUAACCUUCAAAAGUGCUGAGAAAAUAUUUUGAAAGUGUUUUGUAAGUAAUUUCUUAAAUCGACUAAUAUAAAUGUCAUCAUGAGUAUUGCAAUUUGUAAAAAAGAUAUCUCAUUGAGAGUUUAGGGUAGAUUUUUUUAGAUUUUUGUUGUAAUAUAUUAAGCCAUUGAAUUCAGAAGACUUAAAUUCAAAUUGUAAAUUUAAAUUCAUAGAACUCAUUUAAUUACAAUCAACAAGCAUUUAUUAAGUGCCUACUAUGUGCCAGGAAAAAAAAGAACCUGAGUCAGAGAGGAUAUAGGAUUGACAUCAGAAUCAGGAAGAACUAAAUUCACAUCUAAUACACAUCUAAUAAUAUAUGUAUAAUAAUACACAUAGACAUGUAUUAUUACACAUACAUUUAUAUUGAUUGUGACAUACUGGGAAAGUCACCAAAGCACUUGGUUCACUAGGAAUUUUCUAUGUUAAGUUACAAAGAAAGUAACAUCCUGCAUUUGUAGGAGUAGCUUAUAGCAAUGAAACUAUAGGUUCAAUAUUUAUUUUUAUGGUUACUUAACAGGUGCUAUAAAGUACCUCUCUGUCAUAAUAAAAACAGGACUGGGAUUUUGCAUUCAGGCUAUGAGAGAAAACUGGUCCCUUGUGAAAGGAAAUGAUCUCCUUUUCUUCAUAUAUGAGAAAAACUGCUGGUAGGAAUAUCGGCAGGAAGGGAGACCUACACAGAAGUUUUCUGGGAUAAUCUCUUGGGAGUUCAGAGUUUCAGGAAACAAAAAUCCAUUUUGACCAAUGCUCAUGAUAGGAUGAAUCAUAUGGCCAGCACUAGACUAGGGCUUGGAGAUAUAAAGGCAAAAGUGAACUAGCUCUGGCUCUCCAAAAAUUUACCUUCUAUCAAGAAGAUAAGCACAUAUACAAAGCUGCUAGUUUUCCUUCCUACUCCAAAGGGAACCAAAAUGACAUACCUUUGAUGUCUGUCUUGAGCAUAAUUUGAAUUAAAUUGAGGCAGAGUUACACAAAGUCAUCAUUGUCAUGCUCUCUUUCAGAGUCAUCAAAGUCCAUUGGCAUGAC
rnacentral:lncRNA from 1 species